UAGAAUUAGUAAAUUUUGACAAUGUAUGGAAGAAUGUAUUUGUGUUCCUUUUAUUUAACUAAUAAGACUUAAUUAUUAGUUAAAGAUUGAUUAUUUAACAGGCGAUUUUACAAGAGAGGGGUGCAUUCGAGGAGUUAUAAGUUGAUGGGUCCUUUAGGAAUUGAGGACAUUAAAUAUAUUUCCUAAUUAAAAUAGUCAGAUGAAGUCUGACCCACAUUAAGUGUAUAUAAAAAAAAUGAAAAUUAUACAAACUUUGGACACCAUGGGAUGUCAUCAGGCAUUUGACCAGUGCUCAAAGGAGACGCCUUUAGCUGCAGAACGUGGCAGUACCUGAAAGAAGUGUAAAAGUGUCUCUUUAAACACAGAAAACAAAUAACGCGAUACCUAUCUUUUGCUAAAGGAAGGAUUUGCAAUCAUUAAUUGACAUUGCCUUGUGUGCACCACAGGGUAACACAAUUAAAAGAGUCAUCACCGUUUCGGGCAUAGCUUUAGAAUAUUCUUGCAAGCCUUAUAGCAGUAUGCAGUGCAUGAGUGUAUCUCGUUUUUGCUGUCCGUUGGUCUAUGCUGUCUAUAAAGGGAGACGACGCCUGAAGGUAUUUAGCCCUAAUCCUUAUUCAAUUUUCAUUUGAUUGUGUGGAAUAUGUUUCUAUUUCGUGAUUGAUGGGUUUCGAUUACCGUUGCUUAGAUCUUUUUUGACGUGAUGUCUUCGUGCUUCAACAUGGGAGUCCAUCUUGGCAUCUUGCCUGGUCGUUCAUCUACUGUGAAUUUUUAUAAACUCUUAGUUUAUUUCAGGUCGAAUAAUUAUGGUUUUGUAAGAAUUUUUAAAUUUUCAAAACAGGUUUAGGCGAUGAUUGUAGAUUUUUCGUAUCGAUGUGACCACGCCUUGAAACAUUGCCCUCGUUUUAUAGCCAAAAUAUAUAAAAUAUUUCUCAAAAAUAUUCAUCUGCCUUCAAAAAUUCUAUAUUUAUGUUAGAAAAAUUUUCAUUUUUGCCUCGUUAUUCUAGAGUUUGAAUUUUAACUUGUUUUUUUUUUAUAAUACAGGCUUGCUGUCAGAUAACAACCUAAGAUUGGAUGGACAAACUACUUACAGAUGUUAUGUCUUUUAAAGUGUGACUUAUUUUAUUUCCGAAAAUGCCUCUAAUGAGUUGAUUGAAAAAUUCAUUGGACAUAAAAUGUUAACAAUGGUUUCCAUUAAAACAUAAAGAUGAACAUGAGGAGGUAAAUCGAAAGGAGUCGAAACGUGGAGAAACAGAGCCCUCACUCACACUUUCUUCUCUUGGACUUGGAAAGGACAGUUGUAUUUAUGAAAUGGUUUGUGAAUUUUUAAAUCUUGUAUUUCGUUAGU